rnacentral:rRNA from 1 species
UACGUAGGUGGCGAGCGUUGUCCGGAUUUAUUGGGCGUAAAGGGAGCGUAGGCGGACUUUUAAGUGAGAUGUGAAAUACUCGGGCUCAACUUGAGUGCUGCAUUUCAAACUGGAAGUCUAGAGUGCAGGAGAGGAGAAUGGAAUUCCUAGUGUAGCGGUGAAAUGCGUAGAGAUUAGGAAGAACACCAGUGGCGAAGGCGAUUCUCUGGACUGUAACUGACGCUGAGGCUCGAAAGCGUGGGGAGCAAACAGG